AUUGAACGCUGGCGGCAGGCCUAACACAUGCAAGUCGAGCGGAGCGGCGGACGGGUGAGUAAUGCAUAGGAAUCUGCCUGGUAGUGGGGGAUAACGUCCGGAAACGGGCGCUAACACCGCAUACUAUCAGAUGAGACUAGGUGGGAUUAGCUAGUUGGUGGGGUAAUGGCUUACCUAGGCGACGGUCCGUAACUGGUCUGAGAGGAUGAUCAGUCACACUGGAACUGAGACACGGUCCAGACUCCUACGGGAGGCAGCAGUGGGGAAUAUUGGACAAUGGGCGAAAGCCUGAUCCAGCCAUGCCGCGUGUGUGAAGAAGGUCUUCGGAUUGUAAAGCACUUUAAGUUGGGAGGCGUUACCAACAGAAUAAGCACCGGCUAACUUCGUGCCAGCAGCCGCGGUAAUUC
rnacentral:rRNA from 1 species